rnacentral:misc_RNA from 1 species
GAUGAAGAACGCAGUGAAAUGCGAUAAUUAAUGUGAAUUGCAGAAUUCAGUGAAUCAUCGAGUCUUUGAACGCACAUUGCGCCCCCUGGUAUUCCGGGGUGCAUGCCUGUCCGAGCGUCAUUGCUGCCCUCAAGCACGGCUUGUGUGUUGGGCUUCCGUCCCUGGCAACGGGGACGGGCCCAAAAGGCAGUGGCGGCACCAUGUCUGGUCCUCGAGCGUAUGGGGCUUUGUCACCCGCUCCCGUAGGUCCAGCUGGCAGCUAGCCUCGCAACCAAUCUUUUUAACCAGGUUGACCUCGGAUCAGGUAGGGAUACCCGCUGAACUUAAGCAUAUCAAUAAGCGGAGGA